AAAAGACGUUGGUUACCAACAUUACCCAAACUUUCUCUGAUGACGUCAACAACAUAACGUCGAAUUUCACGUUGAUUUGCGGUGCGCGAGAAGUCUGUGAAGACGUGCACGUUGAGGUUUACCUCGAAAAUACAAGUUUGAUAAACAAGCACAACGUGCAAAUGAAAUGUUUGAAUACUUCAAAGUCCGACACUCACGGAUAUGACAUCACGUGCGAAUAUGUCGUCGGAAGCGAAAUGAUUAAGUCUCUAUCUUCUCUGAACUUGACGUGUGUUUCAUGGGGAAAUAACUCAGUUGUCAGACAACAAGAGCUGUUCGAGUUACCAGUUUGUUGGGAGAAAAGUAAUACUUGUAACUGUUCCCAACCACGUGACACGUGUAAAGGAAUGUGCGACAUCCUGACGUCAUGUGGUACCAGACACGUGCAAUUGAAAAAUCCGGUGAACACAGAAUGCUCGACCGAGUGCUUUCCAAAGUGGUGCAGAAGUCGAAACAACAGUCUCCUGACUGACACAAAUAAUAUUCUACUCUCUGUAUGUGAGCUUUGACGCGGUCACAAAUAUGUUACUCCGACCGAUUACAAUUGGAAUUUAUGUUAAUUGUCAAUUUAUCAUCAGUUACC